rnacentral:rRNA from 1 species
AUGUUGGCUCAAUCCGAAGGAAAUUAUGCGGAAGCUUUGCAAAAUUAUUAUGAAGCUACGCGACUAGAAAUCGAUCCCUAUGAUCGAAGUUAUAUACUCUAUAACAUAGGCCUUAUACACACAAGCAAUGGAGAGCAUACAAAGGCUUUGGAAUAUUAUUUCCGGGCACUAGAACGAAACCCCUUCUUACCGCAAGCUUUUAAUAAUAUGGCCGUGAUCUGUCAUUACGGAGAACAGGCCAUUCUACAGGGUGAUUCGGAAAUUGCGAAAGCUUGGUUUGAUCAAGCUGCUGAAUAUUGGAAACAAGCUAUAGCGCUUACUCCGGGAAAUUAU